GUCGACCAGGAGCCAAGAAAGACAAAGGGGAACCCUUAUUCAUCAUCCCAAAUUCAGCAAUUGAAGCUCUAAUCUUGGCUAAUACUCAUGCAUGUCUUUGAUUUCUUAAUCAUCCAAGCAUGCUAAAGCACUAGGAGUUAAGGAAGAAAGUUCAAGCCGUGCCGGGAUACAAGCUAGCAACGACAAAGGUAAAGCUACUUGAUGGAUGGCAUGGUUGGACCGAACACACUUAUGAUGUACGCUUCCGCAAAGUCUCUAGUCA